CUAUCAUUUAUAUGUGGCAUCUAUAAAAUAAUACAAAUGAAUCUAUAUACAAAACAGUAACAGAUGCACAAACACAGAAAACAAUCUUAUGGUUACUGCAGGGGAAGGCGCGGAUAAAUUAGGAGUAUGGCAUUAACAGAUACAAACCACCAUUCAUAAGCCAGAUAAGGAACAAGGAUUUACUGUACAACACAGGGAACUACAUUCAACAUCUUAUAACAAUCUAUAAAGGAAAAGAAUCUAAAAUACAUACACAACUGAAUAUAUACGCAUAUAACGAAGUCAUUUUGCUAUACAUCUGAGGCACGGUAUUGUUAGGUCAACUAUACUUCAAUUUUUCUAAAAAAACCUGAUUUUAUCUGGCUUGUGGCUCUGCGGAUCAGGACUUCACGAAGGGCUUAGCUGGGCCAUCCUCGCCUGGGGUCUCUCUGGAGGUUGGAGUUGGACGUUGGCUGGGGCUCAGAUCCUUAGUCUGAGGCUCGCCUGGAACGAAUGUCCGAGAUGACUCGCUCGGCUUGGCUGGCUGUCACUGCUGGCUGUCAGCUGGCAGGUCAGCAGGGUUGCUGAGUACAGGGUCCCAGUGUGGCUUUUCCAGCAGGGCAGUCUCAGGGUAGCAGGACUUGUUACUCGGUGACUGACUUCCUCUCGAGCAAGCACCUCCAGAGAACCAGGCAGAACCUGGCCUUUAUGACCGAGCCUUGGAAAUCAUAUAAUGGCUCAUGCAAGAAGAUGCUUCAACACGCCAGUUCCAUUUAGCAGCAGACGGGGAAGAGCGGUUCUGGUGAGCCUUGCUAGAGCUGUUCUGGAGAAGCGACGAGGUGGAGCAAGGCUGGGGUGGACUGAGAGGUGAGCAAAUGGAGACUAUUCACUUCAGAGCACCUCUGCAGUUCGGCUGUUACGGGUGAGGGGAGAGCAGAGAGGAUUUCACAAAGAGGAGGCGAACGGUCAAUGAGAUGAGACCUGUGGGCUUGCUGGGUCCAACAAUGUCCUAAGCCAGAGAUGGCCAGAGGCACAGCUGUAGUUGACCAAGUUGGGUUUCUUAUUCAUCCCAGCGAGGAAAACCGUUGCUGGAAAUCUCAGUAAAGCAAUGCACAAAGGACUAGAAGGUCUGCGUUCACGUUCACUGAUUUGGGAAACACUUAGGGAAGUGGAGCUUUGCUCUGGAUUGGAUGUCAGAACUGGGGGGCGAUGCCUCCACCGGAUGUCUUACUGUCAGGUCUGAAAGGCAGGACCACUAGACAAAGGCUGCACUUGUAACUGGUAAAGAAGCAGCAGUCACUCUUAAUCGGCAAGACAGGUUUUUUGUUUGUUUUUUUAGGGCUGCAGUUGCCUCAUAUGGAGGUUCCUAGGCUAUUGGUUGAAUUGGAGCUGCAGCUGCAAGCCUACAACACAACCGCAGCAACGUGGGAUCUGAGCUGCAUUUGCAACCUACACCACAGCUCACAGCAACACUGGGUUUUUAACCCACUGGGCGAGGCCAGGGAUCGGACCCGCAUCCUCAUGGAUACUAGUCGGGUUCUUUAUCACUGAGCCAGGACGGGAACUCCCGGGUGUCUGGUCAUUUUUGUGGCUUCGACUAUGUUCAUCUUUUGACCGGGUUCGGACAUGAGUGGAAGGGCCUCCUUUUUUGCCUUGACCUGUCCUCAGAGCCCGAGGUGGAUGUUUUAUGAAACUGUGCUUGUUCAAUAGAGCACCGAGGCCCAGCUGCGUGUGCCGGGCCAGCGCCCUGAUGUCCUCCUUCCCCUCCCCCCCGUGCCCGGAUGGAUGCAGACAAGCCGAGGGAUGCCUCCUCUCCACCCUGCAUCUUAAGGAGCCGCUGUCCUAACUCACCGGGCCGCUCCAUCAGGCCUGGAAUGGCUCAGGCAUUUCUCUCCUGAAGGCCUUCUCAACCUCGGAGGCCGGUGCCCAGGAGGAGGAGGAGGAGCCCGAGCCCGAGGCCCCCGAGAAACAUGGCGCCUUCCGCGGCGCGUCAGCCCCGCC
rnacentral:lncRNA from 1 species